GAUGAACGCUGGCGGCGUGCCUAAUACAUGCAAGUCGAGCGAACGGACGAGAAGCUUGCUUCUCUGAUGUUAGCGGCGGACGGGUGAGUAACACGUGGAUAACCUACCUAUAAGACUGGGAUAACUUCGGGAAACCGGAGCUAAUACCGGAUAAUAUUUUGAACCGCAUGGUUCAAAAGUGAAAGACGGUCUUGCUGUCACUUAUAGAUGGAUCCGCGCUGCAUUAGCUAGUUGGUAAGGUAAUGGCUUACCAAGGCAACGAUGCAUAGCCGACCUGAGAGGGUGAUCGGCCACACUGGAACUGAGACACGGUCCAGACUCCUACGGGAGGCAGCAGUAAGGAAUCUUCCGCAAUGGGCGAAAGCCUGACGGAGCAACGCCGCGUGAGUGAUGAAGGUCUUCGGAUCGUAAAACUCUGUUAUUAGGGAAGAACAUAUGUGUAAGUAACUGUGCACAUCUUGACGGUACCUAAUCAGAAAGCCACGGCUAACUACGUG
rnacentral:rRNA from 1 species